GCGUAGUCGAUGGGAAACAGGUUAAUAUUCCUGUACUUGGUGUUACUGCGAAGGGGGGACGGAGAAGGCUAUGUUGGCCGGGCGACGGUUGUCCCGGUUUAAGCGUGUAGGCUGGUUUUCCAGGCAAAUCCGGAAAAUCAAGGCUGAGGCGUGAUGACGAGGCACUACGGUGCUGAAGCAACAAAUGCCCUGCUUCCAGGAAAAGCCUCUAAGCAUCAGGUAACAUCAAAUCGUACCCCAAACCGACACAGGUGGUCAGGUAGAGAAUACCAAGGCGCUUGAGAGAACUCGGGUGAAGGAACUAGGCAAAAUGGUGCCGUAACUUCGGGAGAAGGCACGCUGAUAUGUAGGUGAAGUCCCUCGCGGAUGGAGCUGAAAUCAGUCGAAGAUACCAGCUGGCUGCAACUGUUUAUUAAAAACACAGCACUGUGCAAACACGAAAGUGGACGUAUACGGUGUGACGCCUGCCCGGUGCCGGAAGGUUAAUUGAUGGGGUCAGCGCAAGCGAAGCUCUUGAUCGAAGCCCCGGUAAACGGCGGCCGUAACUAUAACGGUCCUAAGGUAGCGAAAUUCCUUGUCGGGUAAGUUCCGACCUGCACGAAUGGCGUAAUGAUGGCCAGGCUGUCUCCACCCGAGACUCAGUGAAAUUGAACUCGCUGUGAAGAUGCAGUGUACCCGCGGCAAGACGGAAAGACCCCGUGAACCUUUACUAUAGCUUGACACUGAACAUUGAGCCUUGAUGUGUAGGAUAGGUGGGAGGCUUUGAAGUGUGGACGCCAGUCUGCAUGGAGCCGACCUUGAAAUACCACCCUUUAAUGUUUGAUGUUCUAACGUGGACCCGUGAUCCGGGUUGCGGACAGUGUCUGGUGGGUAGUUUGACUGGGGCGGUCUCCUCCUAAAGAGUAACGGAGGAGCACGAAGGUUGGCUAAUCCUGGUCGGACAUCAGGAGGUUAGUGCAAUGGCAUAAGCCAGCUUGACUGCGAGCGUGACGGCGCGAGCAGGUGCGAAAGCAGGUCAUAGUGAUCCGGUGGUUCUGAAUGGAAGGGCCAUCGCUCAACGGAUAAAAGGUACUCCGGGGAUAACAGGCUGAUACCGCCCAAGAGUUCAUAUCGACGGCGGUGUUUGGCACCUCGAUGUCGGCUCAUCACAUCCUGGGGCUGAAGUAGGUCCCAAGGGUAUGGCUGUUCGCCAUUUAAAGUGGUACGCGAGCUGGGUUUAGAACGUCGUGAGACAGUUCGGUCCCUAUCUGCCGUGGGCGCUGGAGAACUGAGGGGGGCUGCUCCUAGUACGAGAGGACCGGAGUGGACGCAUCACUGGUGUUCGGGUUGUCAUGCCAAUGGCACUGCCCGGUAGCUAAAUGCGGAAGAGAUAAGUGCUGAAAGCAUCUAAGCACGAAACUUGCCCCGAGAUGAGUUCUCCCUGACCCUUUAAGGGUCCUGAAGGAACGUUGAAGACGACGACGUUGAUAGGCCGGGUGUGUAAGCGCAGCGAUGCGUUGAGCUAACCGGUACUAAUGAACCGUGAGGCUUAACCUUACAACGCCGAAGGUGUUU
rnacentral:rRNA from 1 species